CCACAAGAAAGAUCUUGGAUGCUCAGUUUCUGACUCCCUGGAGUGGACUCUAAGGAUUUGGGGCUGCCUGGAUCAGGAUCUUUUUCCUAUGUUUGAAGAGUCCUCCCCUACCCUUUGCAUCUUGGUGGGAGGUGGGCUCCACCUCACCCGUCAGAAGCUGAAAAGGCUUGCUUUCCUAGCUCCCUUGCAAAUAACGGACAAGCCAAUCUAGACUCAGCCAGACAGGUCUGCCCUGCACUUUGAAUUGGGAGCAAGUGACGCCAAGAAGCAGGGGCAGUGGUGCAUCCAUUCUGGCAGCAGUGGCAGCAGUGUCCAGUGUUCUGGGUAGUGGCGGUGGCAGAGUUGGCCCCUCCUACCUCCCUAGGAAAUAAGAGUAUGUAGGUAAAACAACCUUGGGCCCUAGAGUUUUGGAGCAGCACAAGUUUUACAUACUCUGUUCACAUACUGUGUCCCCAUUUUUUGGUUUAAAAAUAUUCUCUAUCUCUACGGUGGGGGGCAGGGCUUGGUGUCCUGCCAGGGCAGAACUGCCUUUUACGUGGAAUAGAGUCACUCAAUUGUGUCAGAGCUGAGAAGACAGGAUAAAACAAACUCCUGAGGGCCUGAGACACCUCUGAAAGAGCUAGACACCCCGAGAGGCCAGCUUUUAGGUGAUGUAGUGAGAAAACACCUAAGACUAGAGUCCCGGAAGCCAGAAGAAGGCAGUGGUCAGUGAGAACAGAGAGACCACAGAAUUAGAUGCAUGUUGAUUACUUGUGUGGAGCCUAAUUUCGUUCUCUUGAGGGUGAACUGAACAUAGUGAUCUGCGUCUAAAGGACAGAAUAAGGUGGAAGUGACAAUGUGCAGCCUCAGAACUAGGUCAUAGAAGGCACUGUGGCCUCCUCCUUGCUCUCUCUUGGAUUCCUCUCUCUAGGGAAGGUAGCCACCAUGUUGUGAGGACACUCAAGCAGCCUGUGGAGAGGCCCAUGGGAGGAACUGAGGCUUCUUACCAGCAGGCAAUGAAACAGGCCUGCCAAAUGCCAGCAGAGAACUGAGCCUUCUGCCAAGCCAAGAGCCAUGUGGGUGAGCCAUCUUGGAAGUGGAUCCUUCCAAGUCACAGUCACAGUCAAGCCUUCAGAAAACUGUAGCCCCAGCUGAUGUUUUGACUGCAACCUAAGCCAGAACUACUCAGCUAAGCUACUCCCCAAUUCCUGACCAAGAGAAACUGUGAGAUAAUAAAUGUUUGUUGCUUUAAGCCA